rnacentral:rRNA from 1 species
ACUCGAGCGGCGAACGGGUGAGUAACACGUGAGCAACCUGCCCCAGGCUUUGGGAUAACCCCGGGAAACCGGGGCUAAUACCGAAUAUGACCUCUGACCGCAUGGUUGGUGGUGGAAAGUUUUUCGGCUUGGGAUGGGCUCGCGGCCUAUCAGCUUGUUGGUGGGGUGAUGGCCUACCAAGGCGACGACGGGUAGCCGGCCUGAGAGGGCGACCGGCCACACUGGGACUGAGACACGGCCCAGACUCCUACGGGAGGCAGCAGUGGGGAAUAUUGCACAAUGGGCGGAAGCCUGAUGCAGCGACGCCGCGUGAGGGAUGACGGCCUUCGGGUUGUAAACCUCUUUCAGCAGGGACGAAGCGUAAGUGACGGUACCUGCAGAAGAAGCGCCGGCCAACUACGUGCCAGCAGCCGCGGUAAGACGUAGGGCGCGAGCGUUGUCCGGAUUUAUUGGGCGUAAAGAGCUCGUAGGCGGCUUGUCGCGUCGACCGUGAAAACUUGGGGCUCAACCCCAAGCCUGCGGUCGAUACGGGCAGGCUAGAGUUCGGUAGGGGAGACUGGAAUUCCUGGUGUAGCGGUGAAAUGCGCAGAUAUCAGGAGGAACACCGGUGGCGAAGGCGGGUCUCUGGGCCGAUACUGACGCUGAGGAGCGAAAGCGUGGGGAGCGAACAGGAUUAGAUACCCUGGUAGUCCACGCUGUA